rnacentral:rRNA from 1 species
GAGGGGCCCGCGCCCGAUUAGCUUGUUGGUAGGGUAACGGCCUACCAGGGCUUUGAUCGGUAGCUGGUCUGAGAGGACGGCCAGCCACACUGGCACUGACACACGGGCCAGACUCCUACGGGAGGCAGCAGUGGGGAAUUUUGGGCAAUGGGCGAAAGCCUGACCCAGCAACGCCGCGUGAGGGAGGAAAUCCUUCGGGAUGUAAACCUCACAAGUAAGGGAAGAGUGCUGCGGGCUGAAUAAUUCCGCAGUUCGACGGUACCUUACGUAAGCCACGGCUAACUACGUGCCAGCAGCCGCGGUAAUACGUAGGUGGCAAGCGUUGUUCGGAAUUAUUGGGCGUAAAGGGCGCGUAGGCGGCUUGUUAAGUCGGCUGUGAAAGCCCGGGGCUCAACCCCGGAGGGUCGGCCGAUACUGGCGAGCUAGAGUACGGAAGAGGUAGCUGGAAUUCCCGGUGUAGCGGUGAAAUGCGUAGAUAUCGGGAGG